AUUUGGUAGUAUUUUCAAUGUUAGUCAAUUUCGUUCAGUGUGCAAACUUAGUUGAAUCUAAAUAAUAUGCCACAUGGGCCGUCUUGCUUGAAAAUAAAAGAGGAGCAAUAAUUCGCAUGCCAAACAUCGAGCCAGCGACAGCUGUCAAAACUGUUUCCGCCAAGACAAACUCACACCGCCAGAGAACCAGCAAGGAGAAAAAGCAUCGAGUUCGUUCAUUGAGGUGCCCGCGGUGCUGGUGGAAACUUCGGUGCGGGAAAGUGGUUAAGUUUUGUGUAUUACUCGGGCAGCAAUAAUACCCAAUUCGCACGGUGACAAAAUCGCUCGGAAAUUGCGAAACACCGCCGCAAAGCACCAACCAAAAUCGAUCCUGCGAGAAAACUCUUCGGGUGUCGCUGAUUGUCGGUGGCAGUUCAUUGCCGAGUCUCACCACCUGGCUGGCACUAACCACGUGAACCAGUGCACUCACACGCAAACCGGAACGGCCCAGUGAAUAGACGAGAAUCACCUGUAACCUCAGGAAAGUCUAGGAAUUUUGGGACUACGGAGCACAUGUGUGCGUGCAGAACGGUACGUCCGAGCAACUACUUUGUUCUCGGACAGCCUGGUCCAAGCAGCCGUUGACCGGAAGGAGCUCAUAAUCUGCCAGGAAGUGCCACGAAAAUUACCACCAUCCGAUCGAAUCAAAAUAGACGCCAACAUCCGUCGGGUUUUCACGAAGAGACUCCGUCUUCCCGGCUCCGCAUCCGCUUGUGGUCUAGGGGAACGCCAGAACAGCAACCAAAAUCUGCGCGGAUAUCACGCUACGGAAGCAAUUGGAGUGAGCAGCACAUGGAUCCGUCGGAGCAGCUGAAUCACCCGGAAGCUGACAGAAGCUAGUGACCUCGGGGAGAAGCCCCAAACAAGAAGAGCCUUCAUAUAGAAGGCUCUUUUCCUUACAGCUUCGAGUUGCCCAUUUCGGAAAGGGCUGUUCUGAGGAGUACCCGUGGAAUCACAUCCACUCAACCGAAGCGGAUUCCGAUCCGACCACUUUGCUCGCGAAGCCAUCAUCCUGCCAGCGUAGACUCCCAAGCAAGGCAGGGGUUCCACACCGACGACUCAGCGCCCACCCCGGUCGGCGCAAGCAGGUAACGGAGAUGUUAUACUGAAGUAUCUGUGGUCCAGAUUCCCGCGACGAGCCAACGAGGUCGUGGCAGGUGGCCGUAGGUGGAGCGUCCCAGGAUGGCGAAAUGAAAGCGGUUCCGUGAGUACUAGUACCGAAGAAAAU